CAGAAAAUAGUUUAUAAUAAAAUAUUAAUUUUGGAGAUUAAUGUUAAAGAUAUUUCUUUUUUUCUGA
rnacentral:tRNA from 1 species